rnacentral:rRNA from 1 species
AUGGCUUCUCCUCCCCGCCCCGUCCUCGCCACCCCGCUCCUAGUCCUCCUCCUGCUGCUCCCUGGCAAUGCCGCCGCGUCCUCGCCGGUGAACCCGUUCACGGCCAAGGCGGCCUUCAUCCGGUACUGGAACCGCAAGGUGCCCAACAACCGCCCCCACCCGGCCUUCUUCGUCUCCAAGCUCUCCCCUUUGCCCGCCGCCGACGCUGCCUCCUUCCCCUCCUCGCUCCCCGACAUCCGCGCCCGCCUGCCCACGCUCUGCUCCAAGGCCGCUCUGCUAUGCCCGUCCUCCUCUGACUCUGAUUCUGAAUCUGAUGUGGCGGCAAGAAAGGGCCCGUUCACGAGCUACAGGGACGCCAACUUCACCAACUACGGCUCCGGCGCCGGCGCCGGCACCGACGGCUUCAAGAACUACUCCCCGGACGUCAACAUCGCCGCCGACUCGUUCCGCCGCUACGGCCGGGACUCGUCGGCGCGGGCCGACUCGUUCACCAGCUACGAGGCCAACGGCAACGUGGUGACGGCCAACUUCACCUCCUACGCCGGCGGCGCCACGGGCGGGUCGGGCUCCUUCACCGCCUACGCCGCUAACACCAACUUGCCGGACUCCAGGUUCACCAACUACGACGCCGGGGCCAACGGGCGGAGCCGCGGGUUCACGUCCUACGCCCAGGAGUCCAACGGCGGGGAGAGCAGCUUCGCCGGCUACGGCAAGAGCGGCAACAGCCUGCGGGAGAGCUUCGCGUCGUACGGCAACGACACCAACACGCUCAGCUCCGGCUUCGCCAACUACGGCGAGUCGGCCAACGGCGCCACGGACACGUUCACGGGGUACGGCGUGGAGGGGAACGUGCCGGAGAACACGUUCCGGAGCUACGGGGCCGGCGCCAACGCCGGGGUGGACUCGUUCAAGGGGUACCGCGACGGCGCCAACGUCGGGGACGACAGCUUCGCGUCCUACGUCAAGGGCGCCAACGGCGGGGCCGCCGAGUUCGAGAGCUACGGCGGGUCGGCCAACGCCGGCAGCGUCGACUUCAAAGGCUACGGGCAAGGCAGCAACCGCAACCACGAGAUCGGGUUCAAGGCGUACGCCGGAGACAACACCACGUUCAAGGCGUACGCCGAGACCGGCGUCGACUUCAAGGAGUACCACAACACGUCGUCGGCGACGGCGACGACAUCCGCCUCCGAGGAGCAUCGGCAGCAUCUGAAGACUAAGUGGUCUCCGGAGCCGGGCAAGUUCUUCCGGGAGAGGGAGCUGGUUGCCGGCAACCGGAUGCCGAUGCCGGACAUCAGGGACAAGAUGCCGCCGAGGGCGUUCCUUCCGAGGGACAUCGCCAGGAAGAUCCCGUUCGAGGCGAGUGCCGUGUCGGAGGCCUUCAGGGCGGCGCCGGACACGGCGCUGGGCAAGGCGGUGGCGUCGACGGUGGCGGAGUGCGAGCGCGCGCCGAGCCGGGGCGAGACCAAGCGGUGCGCGACGUCGGCCGAGGACGUGGUGGACUUCGCCGUGGAGAUGCUGGGCGACGACAUCGUGGUGCGCAGCACGGCCUCGACGGCGGGCAGCGGCGCGGAGGUCAGGCUGGGCAGCGUCACCGGCGGCGAGGCGGCGCCGGCGCGGGCCGUGUCGUGCCACCAGAGCCUGUUCCCGUACCUGGUGUACUACUGCCACUCGGUGCCCAGGGCGCGGGUGUACGAGGCCGACAUCAUGUCCGCCGCCGGCGACGGUCGGAAGAUCAACCGCGGGGUGGCCAUCUGUCACCUUGACACGUCCGACUGGAGCCCGAGCCACGGCGCGUUCGUGCUCCUCGGCGGCGAGCCCGGCAAGACAGAGGUCUGCCAUUGGAUCUUCGAGGGCGACAUGACAUGGACGGUGGCAGAUUGA